rnacentral:tRNA from 1 species
GAAGAUUUAGUUAAAAUAUAACAUUAGAUUGUCAAGCUAAAAUUAUCAUUAAGAUAUUCUUCU